UACGUAGGGCGCAAGCGUUAUCCGGAAUUAUUGGGCGUAAAGAGCUCGUAGGCGGUUUGUCGCGUCUGCCGUGAAAGUCCGGGGCUCAACUCCGGAUCUGCGGUGGGUACGGGCAGACUAGAGUGAUGUAGGGGGAGACUGGAAUUCCUGGUGUAGGCGGUGAAAAUGCGCAGAUAUCAGGAGGAACACCGAUGGCGAAGGCAGGUCUCUGGGCAUUAACUGACGCUGAGGAGCGAAAGCAUGGGGAGCGAACAGG
rnacentral:rRNA from 1 species